CAAGCAAACUCCCCGAGGGAUCGGCGCUCCAAACACUGAAGCACCACGUGAUCGGCGAAAACACCUGGUGCAUUAUGUGGACGAAAUGAAGCGCGAAGGCUUAUCUGAGCGACACAGUCAGACAGGGAAGAUAAAACUACGAUUGCCCAAACGAGAUGGGCUUCGACGGGUUCUGACCUGUCGAUGAUGCCACACAUGUCGAUCUGCAGUUGGCUGUAAUUUCCCAGCAGUCUUUGCUGCACCGUGAUGAGAUCCACCAGCUGGUUGUCCACAGCAAGGAGACGCAUGCAGCCCUGGAAGACGUCGAAGGGGUUUUCACAGUCCUGACUGUGGUAUUCGGCAGGACAACCUCGACGACAAAAAAAAAAAAAAAAGAGAGCAUUUAGAAAACAGAGAAGUAGAGAAGGGAAUCAUUUGAGGGCAGUGAUUGUAUCAAAAACACAUGUUGGAUUCACGGAGAAGCAAACAUAGCCGUAUUAGUUAGAAUCCCAUUUACACAAAAUUGGAAAAUGGUUGAAAUUCACUGUGAGUUCAGCAAAUUGACAAAAGAGUUAACAUGCACUGUGCACACUUUUGGUGAGUAAUAUGAAGCAAAACUGUGGUAAAUGUGUGACAGUCGAGCUGUGAUUUGUGUAGUCUCACGCCUUCCUAAGUGGGUGAAAUCAUGCAAAUAUAUGCCAAAUGAAUCCAGCUAAUUUCUCACUGCUGUCGUCCGUUUAAUGUGAAAGGGGAGAUAGUGAAAGUGCAUGUGUGUAAAUGCGUGCACGUGCAGGAUGAGAAAAAGCCCACGGCAGUUAGAAGAACAUGCCUGGACUGCAAUAACGCUGAAUGAGAGAGAAACCAAGAGAGAAUGCAGUUUUUCCGCAGCGAGGGAGAAGAAAAUGAAACAAAGUGAGACGAGAGGAAGAAAAAGACUGGAGAGAAAAGAAAACAUGGAGAGUAGAACAGCAGACAGAUGAAGACACAGCAGACUUAUAACUUUCAUUAUAAAACCGCCACAAGCCGAAGUUUUGUCAGUGAAGACGUUCCAUGAUUCCCUCUUACCACCAAAGAAGAGCUGACCUCCCGCGGUGACAGGAAAUGGGGGGUUUGCAUGAGCAACGCCACCUUCUUCUUUAUCCACAGAGAUCAUCAGACGGCUGCGUCUGGAGGUAACAUCCACUGAAUGCCACUGACCAUCGUUCAGAGCAGAGCCUGGGACAAGAUUAGAUAAAAUUAAAAUGAAUAUUCUACCUCAACUCAUCAUGAUUUAUCAUGAAAUAUGGAUAUGUAAGAUUGUAUCUCUGAAAUUGUAGAUUGACAUAUGACAUAUCCACCAAGAUAAUAAAAAAAACAUGCCCAUCGA